rnacentral:lncRNA from 1 species
GGCCUUCCCCCCAAGCAGUAUCGUGAUGUCACCCAGCUGAAAAAAAGUGAUACACGUAUCAAUGAUGAACUGCUUCAUAAACCAUCAAACAGUUUGGCUAAACCACUGUGCCUGCCAUUUCCCAUCUGUCAUCCCUACCAGACACACAUCUCUAGGUACGCCACGUUCCCAAACUUCAGAUCGCCUGAGGAUCGAGACACUGGGACUGAUGCAAGCAGUCAUCAGCCUUUUCACCCCAAUAUCCCCACCAAGCCUUUUGAUGUGGUUGUUCUGGGAAAGACCAGAGGUAAUACAGUACUCUGCUGGUUUAUUAUUUAUUCUUGAAACUUACUUAGAAACACU